rnacentral:rRNA from 1 species
UACGUAGGGGGCAAGCGUUGUCCGGAAUCAUUGGGCGUAAAGCGCGUGUAGGCGGCCCGGUAAGUCCGCUGUGAAAGUCCAGGGCUCAACCCUGGGAUGCCGGUGGAUACUGUCGGGCUCGAGUCCGGAAGAGGAGUGUGGAAUUCCUGGUGUAGCGGUGAAAUGCGCAGAUAUCAGGAAGAACACCUAUGGCGAAAGCAGCUCUCUGGGACGGUACUGACGCUGAGACGCGAAAGCGUGGGGAGCGAACAGG